rnacentral:rRNA from 1 species
UACGUAGGGGGCAAGCGUUGUCCGGAAUCAUUGGGCGUAAAGCGCGCGUAGGCGGCCCGGUAAGUCCGCUGUGAAAGUCAAAGGCUCAACCUUUGAAUGCCGGUGGAUACUGUCGGGCUAGAGUCCGGAAGAGGCGAGUGGAAUUCCUGGUGUAGCGGUGGAAUGCGCAGAUAUCGGGAGGAACACCGGUGGCGAAGGCGGUUCUCUGGGCCUUACCUGACGCUGAGGAGCGAAAGCGUGGGGAGCGAACAGG